rnacentral:rRNA from 1 species
GGGUCUGGGAUAACUCUUCGAAAGAAGUGCUAAUACCGGAUAAGCUCACAGGGUCUUCGGACUCAGUGGGAAAAGUAGGCCUCUAUUUAUAAGCUUACACCUGGAGAUGAGUCCGCGGCCCAUCAGCUAGUUGGCGGGGUAAUGGCCCACCAAGGCAACGACGGGUAGCUGGUCUGAGAGGACGAUCAGCCACACUGGAACUGAGACACGGUCCAGACUUCUACGGGAGGCAGCAGUGGGGAAUUUUCCACAAUGGGCGAAAGCCUGAUGGAGCAACGCCGCGUGUGUGAUGAAGGUCUUCGGAUCGUAAAGCACUUUCGACCGGGACGAAAAACCUCUGGCUAACAUCCAGGGGCCUGACGGUACCGGGAGAAGAAGCACCGGCUAACUCUGUGCCAGCAGCCGCGGUAAUACAGAGGGUGCAAGCGUUGUUCGGAAUUAUUGGGCGUAAAGCGCGUGUAGGCGGCUUUGCAAGUCGGGUGUGAAAGCCCACGGCUUAACCGUGGAAGUGCGCCCGAAACUGCAGAGCUUGAGUGUCGGAGAGGAUGGCGGAAUUCCGCAAGUAGAGGUGAAAUUCGUAGAUAUGCGGAGGAACACCGGUGGCGAAGGCGGCCAUCUGGACGACAACUGACGCUGAGACGCGAAAGCGUGGGGAGCAAACAGGAUUAGAUACCCUGGUAGUCCACGCCGUAAACGAUGAGGAACUAGGUGUCGCGGGGUGUUGAGCCCCUGCGGUGCCGCAGCUAACGCAUUAAGUUCUCCGCCU